CAAAAAGGCAACAAUAUCCAAAAACGUGAGGCAAAAGGCAAGGUCAAAAAACAAGCCAGGGUUUUAAGCUUACUAUGAGUCAAAUGAUCUGGAACAAGGAAUGCUGGAAUAUGACAACAAGGGCAGACAAGGCACAGGUGGGGAGGCUGCUCAAGGAGCAGGUGCGUACGAAGCUGGGGGAUGACCACACCCUUGACAGUCGAGCCCAGGCUCUUCUAGGGUCGUGGGGAGUGCUCGAGCCUAUCCCAGCUGUCAACGGGUAGGAGGCAGGGAUACACACUCAACAGGUCGCCAGCCAAUCUCAAGGAAGCAUCUUCUGCACAAGAGGUUGACAUGGAACCAGUAGAUGCUGAAUCUCCAUCUUUUGUCCAUUCCAAAAGUUGCCAGACAGAAGUGCCUAUUCAUGACGGAACACAGCAGAGAGAGUACUGCAACAUGUAUUUCAACCUCAGGUGUUUUCAAAGACCAAAUAAGUCUGUGCUAAUGGUAUGUAACAUAUUUAUACAAAAUAUAAGCAUACAGUUCAAUAAAAAUGCUAUGAUUCUA